rnacentral:rRNA from 1 species
UACGUAGGGUGCAAGCGUUGUCCGGAAUUAUUGGGCGUAAAGGGCUCGUAGGCGGUCCGUCACGUCGGGAGUGAAAACUUGGGGCUUAACCCCAAGCCUGCUUCCGAUACGGGCGGACUAGAGGUAGGCAGGGGAGAACGGAAUUCCUGGUGUAGCGGUGAAAUGCGCAGAUAUCAGGAGGAACACCCAUUGCGAAGGCAGCUCGCUGGGACGUUACUGACGCUGAGACGCGAAAGCGUGGGGAGCAAACAGG